GGCCAGUCUUAUUUUUCUUAACCAUCCCGGUGCUUUUAGGGAGUUUUCCAAAGAGCAAGUAAUCAAUUAAUGCUAGAGGAAAAAAGGGAAUGAGCCAGAAGUUUAAUUUAUUUGAUUUAAUUUCUCACACUUUUUGAAUUAGCUAUGCAUAUCCAGGUAUAUAUUAUUUAACUUUAAAAGUAAAGACAAAGAGAAUGGUUACUUAUGUGUCACCAAUUUUUGAUCCCAAGUAUUUUCUUAUGAUGUUCUUUCACAUUCCCAUGAAAAACCCAAUUCCAGUAACAUGUUACCUUGCUCUGUAGCAGAAAGAAAAUACUAUAGGUUUUUCAGCUUGUUUACAAAAACAAAAAUCUUACUUUUAAACCUGAAUAGUAAUAAAUGUGUUAUCCAUGGCAUUAAUACACUUAGAUUCAGAUGCAAAAUAUUCAAUUAAAAUGAACAACAUUUGAACACUUAAAGAAAAAAUAGACCUACAGAUUACUUAUGUGCAACAGGAAAAAAAAAAAAAGCAAUGCCCUUGUUAUAUGCUUUUGGAUCAUACAUAUAGUAUAGAUGGUUUGUGACUUUCUUUUUCAUAUACCAAACCUAUAACUCUCCCUUGUGAGACAGCAAUAAAUGAGAUCCAUGCCAUUCUUAAGUUUAUAUUCUAGAGCAAAAUGAACUAUUACAAGAAAAAAAAAAUUUGAGAACACCUAAAUAAGUAUAACUAUAUAUGCUUAUAGAAGCUAACAGUUUAGAACAAACAGGAGGAACAUCUAUGCUUUUUUCCCCUCCGAUCCCUAGGGCUCUGCACUACUGGAAAGGUGCCCUCUUCCACCCCAGGGAAAAGCAGCCGCCCCGACUGCCUGACUAGACGCGGCGCCUGCUACGGGCCCCCUUCGUGGCAGCCCCCCUGGCCUGGGGUCUGGCCCCCACGCGCUCCUCCUCGUCUAGCAGAGCCUCCUCGUACAGCUGGGGGUAAGAGCUGGGCACCGUGUCGUUGAUCUUGGCCAGGACCUGCAGCACCUGCAUCUUGCUGGUCUCCGCGCGGGCCUUGGGGCCCCACAGGAACUCGUGGCGCAGAGGGUCGCUGGAGGGCACGGGGCGGUACUCCAGGUAGCCCUGGCGCACCAGGUCUCGGGUGAUGAGCUUGCGCGGCUCACCGAAGACCAGGUGCCUCUUGCCCUCCUGCACGCCCAGCACGUUGAGGAACUCCCAGACCUCCUCCUCGCUGGCGCGGUUGCCCUUCAUGAAGAUCACGCCCAGGAGCGCCAUCAGGAGGCCGGACUUGGGCAGCCCCUUGCUGCCGCCGCCCAGGGUGCCCUCGCCCGGUUGGGCCAGCUUGCUGACCAGCGUGUAGGACUGGCCGCGGUCGUCGGCCUCCCGGACCUCCAGGCCGAAGACCAGCUCCAUGCGCUGGGAGGACCUGGGACCCUUCCUUCCUCUGACUGCAGGCUGCCCCUGCGAAUUAAAGCUGAAACCUGCCUGAGACCUGAUGGGAGAAAUGAUGGGAUGUCUCAGAAUGACAUCCCUUUCUGGGCCUAUUAA
rnacentral:lncRNA from 1 species